rnacentral:lncRNA from 1 species
UUUUUUUUUUUUUUUUUUUUUAGCAGCAGAGAAGAAUAUAAGGACUUGAUUCACCAGGCAUGUGGCACAAACCUGUAAUCCCAGAUGCUCCGGAGGUAGAGGAAGGAGGAGAUCAGGAGUCCAAAACCAGCCUCAGCAAAAGCGAGGUGCUAAGCAAUUCAGUGACACCCUGCUUCUAAAUAAAAUACAAAAUAGGCCUGGGAAUGUGGCUGAGUGGUUGAGUGCCCUGAGUUCAAUCUCCGCUACUCCUCCCCAACCCUGAAAAGAGGACUUGAUUCAUGCUACUAGUUUUACUUACCAUUGCUUUUUAAUUGCCAAUGCAAUUGUUAACUGAGCCAUUCCAAGGUAAAGUAUGAAAUUCAGAUGUUAAAUACUUUCUGCACAACUUGUAUUUGAUGUCAAGCAUUCAAAUAAAAGAUAUUUGUUAAAUAGUUGUUGCUGAUACCAGACAGAGACAAGUAAACAACUAGUCCAGUAAUAUUUGUAGACCUAUCCAGUUUUAAGGAAAAUUUACAACUCUGCAAACAAGGUAUCAAUUGAGUCUUUGUUUCAGUUUAACCAUUAAUUCAUUUGGAAAAUGGCAUUUCUAUGUUUUUUUUAAUUGACUUCUCAUCCAGCAGGCCUUCAGCAAUGUAAUCUAUAUGCAGCUUCAUUAAUAUUUUGUGUGCUCUAGCCAGUGUACUACAAUAAUUCAUCCUGAA